GCGGGGCUAUCGGUAGACACACAAGACUUAAAAUCUUGCGACCGUAAGGUCGUGCCAGUUCAAGUCUGGCUGGGAGCACCA
rnacentral:tRNA from 1 species